ACCGUGGCUUUAGAUUGUUACUGUACUUUGGGACUGGUAACAGUCUACAGCCAUGGUCG
rnacentral:pre_miRNA from 1 species